rnacentral:rRNA from 1 species
UACAGGGGGUGCAACCGUUGCUCGGAAUCAUUGGGCGUAAAGCGCACGUAGGCGGUCUGUUAUGUCGGAUGUGAAAGCCCUUGGCUUAACUGAGGAAGUGCAUCCGAAACUGGCAGGCUAGAGUACUAAAGAGGGUCGCGGAAUUCCCGGUGUAGAGGUGAAAUUCGUAGAUAUCGGGAGGAACACCGGUGGCGAAGGCGGCGACCUGGGUAGAUACUGACGCUGAGGUGCGAAAGCGUGGGUAGCAAACAGG